UACGGAGGAUGCGAGUGUUAUCCGGAAUCACUGGGCGUAAAGCGUCUGUAGGUUGUUUGCUAAGUCUGCUGUUAAAGCUUGAAGCUCAACUUCAAAAAUGCAGCGGAAACUAGUAGACUUGAGUGUGGUAGGGGUAGAGGGAAUUUCCAGUGAAGUGGUGAAAUGUGUAGAUAUUGGAAAGACACCGAUGGCGAAGGCACUCUACUGGGCCAUGACUGACACUGGAGAGACGAAAGCUAGGGGAGCAAAUGGGA
rnacentral:rRNA from 1 species